rnacentral:rRNA from 1 species
CCUACGGGGGGCAGCAGUGAGGAAUAUUGGUCAAUGGACGAGAGUCUGAACCAGCCAAGUAGCGUGAAGGAUGACUGCCCUAUGGGUUGUAAACUUCUUUUAUAUGGGAAUAAAAUGUUCCACGUGUGGGAUUUUGUAUGUACCAUAUGAAUAAGGAUCGGCUAACUCCGUGCCAGCAGCCGCGGUAAUACGGAGGAUCCGAGCGUUAUCCGGAUUUAUUGGGUUUAAAGGGAGCGUAGGUGGAUUGUUAAGUCAGUUGUGAAAGUUUGCGGCUCAACCGUAAAAUUGCAGUUGAAACUGGCAGUCUUGAGUACAGUAGAGGUGGGCGGAAUUCGUGGUGUAGCGGUGAAAUGCUUAGAUAUCACGAAGAACUCCGAUUGUGAAGGCAGUUCACUGGACUGCAACUGACACUGAGGCUCGAAAGUGUGGGUAUCAAACAGGAUUAGAUACCCGUGUAGUC